AAACAUAGCCUUUAGCAUACCAAGUAUUAAAGGUAACACCUGCCCAGUGAAACUUAAACGGCCGCGGUAUCCUAACCGUGCAAAGGUAGCGUAAUCACUUGUCUUAUAAAUAAGGACCCGUAUGAAUGGCUAAAUGAGUAUUUAACUGUCUCCUUUAACUAAUUAGUGAAACUGAUCUUUCAGUUCAAAAGCUGAAAUAAAAACAUAAGACGAGAAGACCCUGUGGAGCUUUAAAUUUUUACCAAAGCACCCUAAUACCAAAUGCUCAUGAUAAGAAGUUUUAAGUUGGGGCAACUUUGGAGUAAAACAAAACCUCCAAGAACAAGGCGCAGCCUAAACCCAGGCCAACUAGCCUAAUAUAUAGACCCAGUACUACUGAUCAACGAACCAAGUUACCCCAGGGAUAACAGCGCCAUCUUCUUCAAGAGUUCAUAUCGACAAGAAGGUUUACGACCUCGAUGUUGGAUCAGGACACCCAAAUGGUGCAGCCGCUAUNAAAGGUUCGUUUGUUCAACGAUUAAUAGUCCUACGUGA
rnacentral:rRNA from 1 species